AUUGAACGCUGGCGGCAGGCCUAACACAUGCAAGUCGAACGAGUGGCGGACGGGUGAGUAAUUUCUGGGAAACUGCCCGAUGGAGGGGGAUAACUAGUGGAAACGGUCGCUAAUACCGCCUACCAUCGGAUGUGCCCAUAUGGGAUUAGCUAGUGGGGGGGGUAACGGCUCACCUAGACGACGAUCCCUAGCUGGUCCGAGAGGAUGACCAGCCACACUGGAACUGAGACACGGCCCAGACUCCUACGGGAGGCAGCAGUGGGGAAUAUAGCACAAUGGGCGCAAGCCUGAUGCAGCCAUGCCGCGUGUAUGAAGAAGGCCUUCGGGUUGUAAAGUACUUUCAGCGAGGAGGCGUUACUCGCAGAAGAAGCACCGGCUAACUCCGUGCCAGCAGCCGCGGUAAUUC
rnacentral:rRNA from 1 species